rnacentral:rRNA from 1 species
CGGGGUGCACCAGGCGCGAAAACUCCACAAUGUACGGAAGUACGAUGGGGUUAUCUCGAGUGCAGUCCGAUAAGGGCUGCUUUUCCAUAGAGUAAUAUCCUGUGGGAAUAAGAGGGGGGCAAGACUGGUGUCAGCCGCCGCGGUAGCACCAGCCCCUCGAGUGGUGGGGACUAUUAUUUGGCCUAAAGCGUCCGUAGCUGGCUGUAUCCGUCCCCCGUUAAAUCCAGCGUCCUAAGCGUUGGACCGCGGGUGAUACCAUACAGCUAGAGGGUGGGAUAGGUGAGCGGUAUUUCUGGGGUAGGGGCGAAAUCCUUUGAUCCCAGGAGGACCACCAGUGGCGAAGGCUGCUCACUAGAACACGCCUGACGGUCAGGGACGAAAGCUGGGGCAGCGAACCGGAUUAGAUACCCGGGUAGUCCCAGCUGUAAACGAUGCUAGCUAGGUGUUGGGUCGGCCACGCGCCGCCCCAGUGCCGCAGGGAAGCCGUUAAGCUAGCCGCCUGGGGAGUACGGCCGCAAGGCUGAAACUUAAAGGAAUUGGCGGGG